rnacentral:rRNA from 1 species
ACGGGUGAGUAACACGUAGACAACCUGCCGACAGGAUGGGGACAACAUUCCGAAAGGAAUGCUAAUACCGAAUGAAGCGGAGGAGAGGCAUCUCUCUUCCGUGAAAGAUGGCCUCUGAAUAUGCUAUCACCUGUUGAUGGGUCUGCGUCUGAUUAGCUGGUUGGUGAGGUAACGGCCCACCAAGGCGACGAUCAGUAGCCGGUCUGAGAGGAUGAACGGCCACAUUGGGACUGAGACACGGCCCAGACUCCUACGGGAGGCAGCAGUGGGGAAUCUUCCGCAAUGGGCGCAAGCCUGACGGAGCAACGCCGCGUGAGUGAAGAAGGUCUUCGGAUCGUAAAGCUCUGUUGACGGGGACGAACGUGCGGAGUGCGAAUAGCGCUUUGUAAUGACGGUACCUGUCGAGGAAGCCACGGCUAACUACGUGCCAGCAGCCGCGGUAAUACGUAGGUGGCGAGCGUUGUCCGGAAUCAUUGGGCGUAAAGGGAGCGCAGGCGGGCCGGUAAGUCUUACUUAAAAGUGCGGGGCUCAACCCCGUGAUGGGAGAGAAACUAUCGGUCUUGAGUACAGGAGAGGAAAGCGGAAUUCCCAGUGUAGCGGUGAAAUGCGUAGAUAUUGGGAAGAACACCAGUGGCGAAGGCGGCUUUCUGGACUGCAACUGACGCUGAGGCUCGAAAGCCAGGGGAGCGAACGGGAUUAGAU